rnacentral:rRNA from 1 species
UGGGGGAUUUUGGACAAUGGGCGAAAGCCUGAUCCAGCAAUGCCGCGUGUGUGAAGAAGGCCUUCGGGUUGUAAAGCACUUUUGUCCGGAAAGAAAUCCUUGGCUCUAAUACAGUCGGGGGAUGACGGUACCGGAAGAAUAAGCACCGGCUAACUACGUGCCAGCAGCCGCGGUAAUACGUAGGGUGCAAGCGUUAAUCGGAAUUACUGGGCGUAAAGCGUGCGCAGGCGGUUUGCUAAGACCGAUGUGAAAUCCCCGGGCUCAACCUGGGAACUGCAUUGGUGACUGGCAGGCUAGAGUAUGGCAGAGGGGGGUAGAAUUCCACGUGUAGCAGUGAAAUGCGUAGAGAUGUGGAGGAAUACCGAUGGCGAAGGCAGCCCCCUGGGCCAAUACUGACGCUCAUGCACGAAAGCGUGGGGAGCAAACAGGAUUAGAUACCCUGGUAGUCCACGCCCUAAACGAUGUCAACUAGUUGUUGGGGAUUCAUUUCCUUAGUAACGUAGCUAACGCGUGAAGUUGACCGCCUGGGGAGUACGGUCGCAAGAUUAAAACUCAAAGGAAUUGACGGGGUCAUAGCUGUUUCCU